rnacentral:lncRNA from 1 species
AAAGAAACUAGAAAUCCAGGACCAACAAAUGAGAGGAAAGUUCUCCAUCCAGUCCAUGUCUUGAUGAUCAUAAUCUUUGCUGUUAACAACAGGAGAUGAAAUUCCAGUCAGAUUAACGGCUGAAAUGCGAUUGCUUGCUCCGAUAAUUUUUGAUUCAUUCUCCAUCCCUGCCAUGGAUCACUGUGUCUAUUUUACCUUUGAAGAUGUGAUGAUGGAGUGUCUACAUGUAUCAUUGGGAUUAUAGCUCUUUAACUGAAGUUUAUAUUUAUAACUGAGU